rnacentral:rRNA from 1 species
GACGAACGCUGGCGGCGUGCUUAACACAUGCAAGUCGAACGAAGAGCGAUGAAGCUUGCUUCUAUCAAUCUUAGUGGCGAACGGGUGAGUAACGCGUAAUCAACCUUGCCCUUCAGAGGGGACACCAGUUGGAAACGACUGCUAAUACCGCAUACGAUCUAAUCUCGGCAUCGAGGAUAGAUGAAAGGUGGCCUCUACAUGUAAGCUAUCACUGAAGGAGGGGAUUGCGUCUGAUUAGCUAGUUGGAGGGGUAACGGCCCACCAAGGCGAUGAUCAGUAGCCGGUCUGAGAGGAUGAACGGCCACAUUGGGACUGAGACACGGCCCAGACUCCUACGGGAGGCAGCAGUGGGGAAUCUUCCGCAAUGGACGAAAGUCUGACGGAGCAACGCCGCGUGAGUGAUGACGGCCUUCGGGUUGUAAAGCUCUGUUAAUCGGGACGAAAGGCCUUCUUGCGAAUAGUGAGAAGGAUUGACGGUACCGGAAUAGAAAGCC